rnacentral:rRNA from 1 species
GGGUUGUGAGGUUAAGCGACUAAGCGUACACGGUGGAUGCCCUGGCAGUCAGAGGCGAUGAAGGACGUGCUAAUCUGCGAUAAGCGCCGGUAAGGUGAUAUGAACCGUUAUAACCGGCGAUUUCCGAAUGGGGAAACCCAGUGUGAUUCGUCACACUAUCAUUAACUGAAUCCAUAGGUUAAUGAGGCGAACCGGGGGAACUGAAACAUCUAAGUACCCCGAGGAAAAGAAAUCAACCGAGAUUCCCCCAGUAGCGGCGAGCGAACGGGGAGGAGCCCAGAGCCUGAAUCAGCAUGUGUGUUAGUGGAAGCGUCUGGAAAGGCGCGCGAUACAGGGUGACAGCCCCGUACACAAAAGCGCAUGUGCUGUGAGCUCGAUGAGUAGGGCGGGACACGUGGUAUCCUGUCUGAAUAUGGGGGGACCAUCCUCCAAGGCUAAAUACUCCUGACUGACCGAUAGUGAACCAGUACCGUGAGGGAAAGGCGAAAAGAACCCCGGCGAGGGGAGUGAAAAAGAACCUGAAACCGUGUACGUACAAGCAGUGGGAGCACAGGUUUACCUGUGUGACUGCGUACCUUUUGUAUAAUGGGUCAGCGACUUAUAUUCUGUAGCAAGGUUAACCGUAUAGGGGAGCCGUAGGGAAACCGAGUCUUAACCGGGCGUUAAGUUGCAGGGUAUAGACCCGAAACCCGGUGAUCUAGCCAUGGGCAGGUUGAAGGUUGGGUAACACUAACUGGAGGACCGAACCGACUAAUGUUGAAAAAUUAGCGGAUGACCUGUGGCUGGGGGUGAAAGGCCAAUCAAACCGGGAGAUAGCUGGUUCUCCCCGAAAGCUAUUUAGGUAGCGCCUCGUGAAUUCAUCUCCGGGGGUAGAGCACUGUUUCGGCUAGGGGGCCAUCCCGGCUUACCAACCCGAUGCAAACUGCGAAUACCGGAGAAUGUUAUCACGGGAGACACACGGCGGGUGCUAACGUCCGUCGUGAAGAGGGAAACAACCCAGACCGCCAGCUAAGGUCCCAAAGUCAUGGUUAAGUGGGAAACGAUGUGGGAAGGCCCAGACAGCCAGGAUGUUGGCUUAGAAGCAGCCAUCAUUUAAAGAAAGCGUAAUAGCUCACUGGUCGAGUCGGCCUGCGCGGAAGAUGUAACGGGGCUAAACCAUGCACCGAAGCUGCGGCAGCGAACGUAUCACCCAAGACAACUUUACGGAGUUGACGAUUGACGGAGCGAAGCGACGUCAAAGCGUUCAUUAAAGUCGAGUUGGCUUAGGGAUACGUUCGUUGGGUAGGGGAGCGUUCUGUAAGCCUG